rnacentral:tRNA from 1 species
ACUGAAAAGUUAACUGUGCAAUUCAGUUUAAUUUGAUAAUAAUUAUCUUACUUGAAUAAAAUAAUUGAUUAUUUAU